rnacentral:rRNA from 1 species
UACGUAGGGCGCGAGCGUUGUCCGGAAUUAUUGGGCGUAAAGAGCUCGUAGGCGGCUUGUUGCGUCUGCUGUGAAAUCCCGGGGCUUAACCCCGGGCGUGCAGUGGAUACGGGCAGGCUAGAGUUCGGUAGGGGAGACUGGAAUUCCUGGUGUAGCGGUGAAAUGCGCAGAUAUCAGGAGGAACACCGGUGGCGAAGGCGGGUCUCUGGGCCGAUACUGACGCUGAGGAGCGAAAGCUAGGGGAGCAAAUGGG